ensembl:snoRNA
UGGAUGUUACCUAGGCACUUAGCACGCAGUUUCUCGUCUGCUGUGAACAUAAUAGAGAAUUCCUCACUGGGUUUUCUGUCUGCCACCCUGCUAGUGAUCCAUCCACUGGGAACAUCU